rnacentral:ribozyme from 1 species
AAGAAACAGAUGAAAGAGUGGAAAGAAAAUCAGGAAAAGGCCAAGGCACGGGAUCAUCGCCGCAUUGGUAUCAAACAAGAACUUUUCAUGUUCCAUGAUUACUCUCCUGGUUCAUGUUUUUUCCUUCCUCACGGUACCCGCAUUUAUAAUAAACUUGUGGAUUUUAUUAAGAAACAGU